CGCACCUUGCGCCCCUUGGUAUUCCGAGGGGCAUGCCUGUUUGAGUGUCAUUAAAUUCUCAAACUCACUUUGGUUUUUCCAAUUGUGAUGUUUGGAUUGUUGGGGGCUGCUGGCCUUGACAGGUCGGCUCCUCUUAAAUGCAUUAGCAGGACUUCUCAUUGCCUCUGCGCAUGAUGUGAUAAUUAUCACUCAUCAAUAGCACGCAUGAAUAGAGUCCAGCUCUCUAAUCGUCCGCAAGGACAAUUUGACAAUUUGACCUCAAAUCAGGUAGGACUACCCGCUGAACUUAA
rnacentral:misc_RNA from 1 species